GAUGAACGCUAGCUACAGGCUUAACACAUGCAAGUCGAGGGGUAGCAGGGUAGCAAUGCCGCUGACGACCGGCGCACGGGUGAGUAACACGUAUCCAACCUUCCCAUAACUCGGGGAUAGCCUUUCGAAAGAAAGAUUAAUACCCGAUAGUACUUUUUCAAGGCAUCUUGAGAAAGUUAAAGAUUUAUUGGUUAUGGAUGGGGAUGCGUUCCAUUAGAUAGUUGGUGAGGUAACGGCUCACCAAGUCUUCGAUGGAUAGGGGUUCUGAGAGGAAGGUCCCCCACAUGGGUACUGAGACACGGACCAAACUCCUACGGGAGGCAGCAGUGAGGAAUAUUGGUCAAUGGGCGAGAGCCUGAACCAGCCAAGUAGCGUGAAGGAUGAAGGUCCUAUGGAUUGUAAACUUCUUUUAUAGUAGAAUAAAGUGAUCCACGUGUGGAUUUUUGUAUGUAUACUAUGAAUAAGGAUCGGCUAACUCCGUGCCAGCCGCCGCUGUAA
rnacentral:rRNA from 1 species